rnacentral:SRP_RNA from 2 species
GCAUCGGUCUCACGCGACGUUCUCCCGCCAACCCCGCCAGGUCCGGAAGGAAGCAACGGUAACGGGCUCUGACGUGUGCAGUGAGUCGCCGGUGUCUG